UUUCUUGAAUUUGUGUUGUAGCAUGAUACAUCAACUCUUUUGUCUGUUGCAAGAUCAGUGCUAGUAAUUACAAAUAUAUAAUAUUAACCAAAAAACCUCCUUGUUCAUGUAUCCUCAUAAAAGCAGUGCCAUUCACUUAACCGUACUAGUUUAGUGAAUCACUGAUCUGUGCCUUAUUCAUGUAAAGUGAUCUGCUUCAGAAAGAUGUGUCAAAUAGAGUGGGUGUUUGGGUAGAACUUGUUAGCUUGGUAGAACUGCAGAACUUGCAGAAGUUUGCAGUGGGAACAAACAAUGCUUUGUUCCGUGCUGCCCAAUUUGGGCCUGAUUUCCCUUGGUUGCUUGAUUGAAAAGCAGAAGAAAGAGCUGUGCCAGGUGAGCAUUGAGCUUGAUCUCACCUGAAAUCUCCCUAUUCGUGGAAUGAAGCAUUUUAUGUCAGCAACUAAAUAUACAUAACUUUAUCAUUCAUUCUUUUUCUUGACAGUGUCUCUUAUUGACAGUGACCCCUUCACAAGCUAUUCUGAGCAGCUUAUCUGUUUCUCCAUUUAGAUAAGGGGAUUUCUUUAUUUUUAUUACCUUCUAUUAUUUUGUUUUUAUUUCUGAGUCUCCUCUACCAUAUGGUUCUUUGCUUGAAUAAAGUGGAAAUGCGAUUCCAUAGGUUAACUACAUCUGGGUACUACAGCAUAAUGGUGUUAGACUUCAGUCCUCUCAGAUAUCUGAGAUCUGUGUGGUGCUUUCAUUUUUAGUGUCCCUACGGAGUGCAGCUCUUGGAUAGGAGUUUGGAUGGCAGUUGCAGUGAGCAUAUCUCUAAAACUCUGAAGUGAUGUUCUUGUACUCGACUCCUCCUAGAUGAUUCAGAGUCCUGCUGUAAAGCUUGUCUAACCCACAGUACCAUAUCAGUUAAUGCUUGCCAGCGCAGUAAUCUGAAAUUACUCAAAACACAGAGGUAGGUGAGGGUAAAAUCAAAUGUAAGUAAGUCCACAUUUACAGACCUCCAGACAAAAAGUGGAAGAUUCUUAAACUUGGUGAAGAGAAAGAAGGCAAAACACUGUAGUCUAGAGCAGGAAAGUUUCCUUUACCUUGUAUGUAGCACUGCAGCAGACGACUGCCAGUCUUCCCAGCGCCAAUCUAGUUAUUGUGCAGCCCCAGUCCCUCAGGUUGAAUUCAGAGAAGCCUCUGAUUUUAAGACUCUCUAUGUCCUUUUGUACUUGAAACUCAUUUUGAGGUUAAGGGGUAGAGGAUUAUGUUGGUCUUUUAAGUCAGUAAAGGGUUAUUCAAGCAUCUUUCACUAGAUCUGGGUGGUUUUGUUUCUGCUUGGGCAGUGCUGGUGUCCCUGAGGCACAGCCAGGUGCAAGGCUGCCCCCCGGCUUUGAGCACUCUUCUGCCCAGCUCUAAGGGGACAGCUGGCGUGUAGCAAAGGAGGUUGGGCUUUCAUGCUGUGGUGGAUGAAUUUCAAGUUUUAGAGUGGUGUUUUUCUUUCUCCUACCUCUAUGCAUAAUUUGCUAAUAGUGCUUUAUACUGUUUUGUAAGAGGAAUUUUCUCUUGGCUCCUGUUGGUGGCCAGGAACACCUUGUGUGAGUCCAGGAGGGCAGCUCCCCCACCAAAUAAAUGCAGGCUUUGGCAGAGCUGGGCAAACAGUUGUGCACAUUUCUGUCCAUGUAGAAGCAACCACCAGCAGGCUGAGGUCCUUUGAAGUGUUUAGUGGUCUGUGUUCCAGACGAGUUCAAGCAGAGGUCUGAAAAUGUGUGUCUGAGUUUUAAGACACUUGCAUAUGCCAUCGUGUAUUUACUUACCCAGUGGUGCCACUGGCUGUGGUGAGGCUGCAGAUGUGAAUAAGUGCUUAUUGAGACAGAGAAUCAGAAGACCUUUGAGUUCUUCUCAUGAGAAACCUGAGAUGAAUGGUUGGUGUAUCCGGGGUCAGUAUUAGACUGACAGUCAGCAGAAUCAAAUGGUAUUUAAAUUGCUUUAAUAUUAUUCCAUCCAAUCUACUUGGCUUACAUGAUCCCCAUUACAGUAGUACUUAGACUUAUUUAAAAAUGCUUCUGUGUAAUUUGGAAAAAACAUUUGAGUUAAGCAGUUCUAUUAAAUACUUAGCUUCUAACCUCUGAAACAGUGACAGUUUUCGGCCUUUUUUCAGCAUUCUGAAAAUGUGGCUCUGGAUGCUACUUAUGAGAAAUGCUUACCUAAACCAGAUUAUUUCAAAAACAUUUCUACAAUGUUUAGCUUAAACAAAAAGAUAGAUAAGUAAUCGUUUAGUGUCUUAGGGCAACAGUCCUUCCAGUGCGUAUGCAUGUGUGUAAAUAUUUCAGAACUGGAGAAUUUUUAAAAGGAAAACAAUAGCAGUAUUCUAUGGUACUGAGAAGCUAUGGAGUAUGCUUAAAAGCUUGAGUAAUUUUAAUGGUGAAAAAUAUCAAGAUGUAAUCCAUUAUGUAGAAUAUCUGUUCAUUAAAAGUUCUGGUGAACUUCAAGGCAUAUUGUGGCACUAGCAGAAAAAUGCAGUGAUUUUCUUCCACUCCUACUAAUGGUACUCCGCAGUCUCGUGAAGCAUAAUGCAAAAUGGAAAUGGUUAAGGAAGUCAUGAAUUAUUUCAGCAUUCUGUUGGUAUUUUAAUUGCUAUAGUGACAAAAUCAGGUUAACUCUUGGACCAGAUUUUGUCACAUUGCCAACAUACUGUUCUUAGGUCUAUCAAGCACAGCUGAAAAUUGGCUUAGUCAUUAGAGAAGGCACUUUGUCUUUUCAUGUAACCAUUCCUUACAUCUUAUGAUCAGCUGAUGAGAGUACCUGGCUCUGAAGCUCUUGAUCCCUUUGUUCUUUCAGGUUUAUAGAAUCAUACAAUGGCUUAGGUUGGAAGGGUCCAACCCCUGAAUGUCGAGUGUUUCACUUGCCACUGUUGUUUCAGUGUUAUUAACAUAUGGCUUUGUAUUCCAAUAUACAAAAUGAUGGAAUUAGCCUUUGAUUUUAUCCUUCAAUCAAAAGAUGCUUUUCUCUAUGUGUGUGACUGUUCCCCGUGAACUUCUUCCAAAAUUACAGAAUCCCCUAGUUUUCCUUCUCCACAUUUUUCCUUUUCUAAAGUUCUGUGUUCAGUCAUUGUCUUGGUGAUGCUAAAAGUGCAAGGUCAGCCACACCUAUAAAGGUUAUUCAGGGACACUACAGUACAGUAGGGUACUGACAUAAGUUCAAAUUGCAUUGUCUUGUCAAAGACAUUUUGGAUAAUCUUAGGUAAACCAUGUUGGAUUGACUCUUCAAAAGGUAUUUGAUGACGAUGGUUUUCCUACUUCCCAUAGAUCUUGUUCAGAAAUGUAGUAAGAUGUUAAAGUGGGUCAGUUAUUACUGUAAUUGGGCUUAAUAUUAUAAUUAUUGGGCUUAUUAAAUAGCUUAAUAUAAAAAAAAAUUGUAUCCAUAUAUAUGAACUCCCACACACGAUCAUACAUACAGAUGUACUUUUCAUUAUAGAAUGAUCGUAGAGUCACAGCAUGGCUUAAAUUGGAAGAGACCUUUAAGAUCAUCGAGUCCCAACCCCUGCUGUGGGCUGGUUGCCACCCACAAGCUCAAGCUAUCCAGAGCCCAUCCAACCUGCCUUGGGCACUCCAGGGAAGGAUAUCUGCAGCUGCUUUGUGUCAGGGCUUCACGACACUCUCAGCAAGGAUUUCUUCUUAACAUCUAACCCAAAUCCCCCCUCGUUUAGUUGAAAUCAAUUCCUUCUUGUCCUAUCACUAUCAGGCAAUGUUAAAAAUUGGUCCCCCUCCUGUUUUUAAACUCCUUUCAAGUACUGGAAGGCCACAAUGAGUUCUCCACGAAGCCUUCUCCAGACUGAACAAGCCCAGCUUCCUCAGCCUUUCUGUGUAGGAGGAGAUGUUCCAGUCCUCUGAACAGAUCUGUGUCUCUUAUCCUGGGGGCCCCAGGUCUGGCUGCAGUACCACAGAUGGGACUCAUGAGAGCAGAGCGAGAGGGACAGUCACCUCCCUUGCCCUGCUGCCACCCCUCUGUCGAUGCAGCCAAGGCUACUGUUGGCCUUCAGAGCUGUGAGAGCAUAUUGCUGGCUCUUGUACAGCUUUUUGUCCACCAGGACCCGCAAAUCCUUCUCUGCAGGGCCACUCUCAAUGACUUCUUCUACCAGUCUGUGCACAUAUCUGGGAUUGCCCAGACCCCAGUGCAAUACCCUGCACUUAGCCUUGCUGAACCUCAUUUAGUUUUAAGUCAGUCUUCUAAAGCUCAAGAUAAGGCAGAUUACUCAGAGUUGUAAAACUUCAUGCUCAAAUUCUGCUCAUCAUUUGCUGUGUGAGUAGUUUCUUCACAGUCUAUGUGAAUGUUCACAUGAAUACUCUUAUUGAUAUUUCCAGAUUAAUAACAAUGACAGAAUUCAUUUUGGCAAGGAAUUAGACUGGUAGAACUGCCUAGAACUCUACUUUUAAAAAGAAUAUAUUGUUUUUCUCUUAGUAGUAGGCUUCUUUUCUAAGCAGAAGUUUAGUGUGCAGUAAGGCAGAGUCCAGACAUUGAAAUAGUGCUCAGAACAGGAAUAAUUCCUUCAAGUUCCAGGGUCUAGAUUUUGCACAUUUUUUAAUCCAGGUAGUUGUAGUGGUUCUGUGGCCUCAUCUCUCCUGCUAAAAGACCUCAUAUUUUUCCCUUCUUAGUGAGGCUUCCCAUUUUAAUUCUGUUGUCCCAUUUUAAUUCUGAAUUCCAAUUGAAUCACAUAUUCUUAAAUGUUUCAGUUUAUUCUUCUAGUGAAUGUAAGGUGCACUCCAAAUUCAGUUUACUGGGACUAAUGUGGCAAACUAAUAAUGGCUUACAAGAUUAUUAGCAUUAAACAUCCAAAAAUUGUGAAGAUUGAUUAGAUUGACAUAGGUAGGAGCUGAAUAUUCUGAUUAAAAAUAUUAUUUAUUGAAAUUGUGCACAUAAUAGAACAAUGCUGAAAGCAGUUGUUCAGAACAGUAUUUGUGCAAGAAGUAGAGGCAAAUGAUUGAUUUUCUUAAAAUGUUUGCUGUUAGCCUGGAGAUACCCUUUUGUUACAGUACUUAAGAGCUGAUCAUUAAUUUGGAGUAUUUUCUUUUAUCUGCAAUUUUUUGAUGUGUUCGGAGAUGAGAUUCCUCCACUGAAUUCUUGUGCUGAGGAGUGGAACGCAAUGACUGUGUGGAUGGACCAGGCUUUGUGCCCAAAUGGCAUAGUUUAUUUCUGACUUGUGUUUGACGUCUAAGUGUUCAUCAGCCGUUUCCAAAGCACCAGACACUGUUCAAGUGAAACAGCCCCUUCCAGAAACUGAGGCUGCUGCACACAGGUGCUGCAGUUGUUUGUGCCAGCUGGGCUCAUACACAGCGCACGUGUGUCUAAAUAUGCUGGUGAGUGCUGGAGGCACUGCCUGCUUCCCUUCUGCAGUUGGAGCCAUAAUUCUUUGUAUGUUUGAGCUAUACUAUUAUCUGUGCUGCCAGGACCACUCGAUCUUGGCUGUGGAAUUCCUCAUGUAUUUAGUGUUGUAUUAGCAGUACAUCUGGAAGUCUUCCUAGGUGUUAGCUAAUUCUCCUAAUUUUCAUUUCAGAAUUAACAACGAUCUGCAGUGUCUGAGUGAUUCAUUAUGCAGGCAGACAUUCACCCAACAGCUAUUUGGAAUGUUGCUUCCUUUAACUUAACACACAGCAAAGAACACUAUCCUGUGCUUGUUCAGUGUACAGUUGCUAAACAUUUGUAAUUUAACUUGCAUACUAAAUUUUGUGAUGGAAUCAUUAAUUGUCAUGAACUAUGAUGUCGCCGACAUUUUAAUUUUAAGUCUGUGUUAUAUUGCUUGAGUUUCAGAUGUCUGAAUUAAAUUUCUUAACCACUUAAAAUCAUUUUCCCCCUAGAACUGAAAGCUGGUCACAUGAGUUAUUGGAAUUUACAAAGUGUGUGUGUGUAUAUAUAUGUUUAUCUCUUAGUUCAAAGCAAGAAAGAGGUUUCAAAUUAGAAAGGAGAACACGAGAAAUUUCAUGAGUACCAUGAAAGGAAAUUAGAACAAGCCUUUUGUUUGCAUUAUUCCAAUAAGAACUCCAAAUUUCAAGAAGAACAGGAAAUAAUAAAUAAAACAGGCAGAAGGACAAAAGGUUUUUUGGAAGAGUAUGCACAAAGGUGUUGGAGGAGAUUGUUGUUACAGAAAAAAAGUUUACAGCGGUUCUCAAGUAUUGGAUCCAAUAAGGGAUAACCGUCUCAGCUCUGUAAGGAAGGAUAGUUAACUCAGAGUUGUUUCAGAUAAGCUUGUAAGUUAAAUCUGACCCUAAAGCCAGAGCAGCAUCACCUCAUGUGGUUACACAGGCAGGAUUUCACCCAAGAUUUAGCAGGUGGGCUCGUGCACGCUGCCUGUCGCUGUAUUUGUAAGGUUUAGUUACAGACGUGGGUACCAAAUGUAUUUGCUGUGGUUUGUGUGUAAAACUGAAGCUGGUUUCGUUUCUGAUUGUUUGACCGUCUGAUGCUGUAUUGUUACUAUUUCCAUGAGUCAACACUGAUGGUGAAAGAAGCAGUCUGAGCUUCCCUUUUUUUUUUUUUUCUUUUUUUUCUUUUUUCCCCAGUGAGGACAGAGCUGUUGUUUUCAGCUAUCUUACAGAGCUGUUUCUUGAAGUGCGAUUGCAGUUUGUGGUCUCUCCCUCAGCCAGCCACUUGCGGGCUCCAUGCCUGCCUACAGCUGUGACAGCCCCUUCUGCCCUCCUUUCUACUGCCUUUUUCCUUGUCUGGCUGUAAAUCCUACUUCUCCCAGAAAGUUCAGCUUCUACUUCACAACUAAUGAAAGCUAACUUUUUCUUUUGCUUGAAACACCCAAUCAACAACAUUUGAAAAAUUUCGGCCAUCUGUGCUUCUCCUACUCAGCCUGCAGACGCGGUCAGACUAAGAGGUUGGUGAGGAUGAGUGAUCCCACUGGUGCAGAUAGGAAUCUGCUGGGGAGCUCCACCAGAGCUUGCUUACCUAUGGAAAUCUCACCCCAAUUUUUUAAGAGUGAGUCUUUGGUUCUAAUCCUGCCUUCCUUUGCAGCUUCAGGACUGUCAUCCUGCUGAAGGAAUCCAAGUUUCCUUAUUUGCAAAGAGAAGGAGCCUACUAGUUAUAAAAUCAGGCUGGGUUCUGGAUUCUGCUAGGCUGAUCUUAGCUAGCUCCUGGCUUUGUUUCUUAAAGUCCUCAGAUCUGAUCUGUUCACUGUUGUGGUGAAUUGCUUCCAUGCACAGAAAGACUCCUCCUCAUCUCUAAAUCCUUGAUCACUUUCAUUCAGGGAAGCACUUAACAUUUUUUUUUUAAAAUAACUUUGCAUAAGGAGGAUUGAAUGCAUUAAUUGGUUAGAUUCCCUAAUAGUUUUUAACAAAAUGUGUCGCACUUUUCUUUUUUCUGGCUGAAAGUUCAAAAGAGCUCAUUCCCAGAUUGUUUUUAAUCAAUGUUCAGCAACUUUGUGCUUUAAAGAGACUUCUCAAGCCAAUUUCUCUGGGUUAUGGGGCUGUGCCUGCUGCCUGAGUUAGUUUUCACAACACAGACUAGCUAGCUACCCUAAACUGUCUUUAGUCUGAAAGCUUGUCUUUUAAAUAGGAACUGAUUUAAGUUACCUUUCUCUAUGGCAUACGUUGACCCCAGGAAUUAGAUGUGAAGUUCUGUAGACAUUUGACCCCUGCAAGUAAUUAAUGGCAACAGGCACGACUAAGGAUGCAGCUGCAUGAUGCUCAGUGGUAAUCUCACUGGCAGCCCCAGGCAGAGGUAUUCGUACCCCCAGUCUUGUUCUGCCUCUGCAUUCUCUGACCCAAAGUGGGCUGGCUCAGAGCCACAUUAUUGCAUUUGUUGCAGGGUCAGAGAUCUGUUAAUGGACGGCAUGCUGUUAGGGGAGGGCUUCGACUGACCCAGGGCAUUUGAUGCUCUGGAUUACCUUCAUUGUGGGCGUAGAUCCUUAAAGUAGUGGAAAGUAGUAGAUGAAAAGAAUGCAAAUAUCCUUGAAGUAAUACUGCUAACAUAAAAUUUUUUUUCUUUGAAUGGUCAUUUAAAAAACAGUUCAUAGUUAUCUGUAAGUAGUUUGUCUUGGCUGCAGAUUUGGUGCACAGUGAGUUCGGAGCUUCCAAACUUGGUUUCAAAUAAAAAUGGCUAGAAUGUAGCAGAGGGAGAGAUGCUCAUAGCCCUUUGAGAAGCAGAUAUCAUCCCUUCUGGGGCCAGCUGCUCUCCAAAGCUGUAUUGCUACCAUUUUGUGGCAUGGGACCACCAGCCCCUGCAGGAGCUGGGCUGGAUGUACGGCUUCUGCAGAAGUAGGAAGUGUGGUGUGUGAUGCUGCCUUAGUGAUCAGCAUUCAAAUGAUCUCUAAUUGGUUUCAAGAUCCUGGUGAAUGGGAUGAACAGGUCUGAAAGAACACUGAUAUUGUUGCUAUGUGUGUGGGCAGUAUGGUGAUAACAAAUUAGAGAGACACAUUCAAAGUUUCUUGUUGCUUUUCAAGCUAUGUGUUUUGCAACCAGUGUUUCCUGAGCAGUUCAGGCAGUCUGAGGUUGUCUACAAUGUCUCCAAAGUUGUUCCAAAGCAGCAUUUCAAUAGUAGGAGCAUCUGCUGGGUAUCUGUCUGAGCAACUCAUUGACUAGAGGAGCUGUUUUUUGUUUCUGUCUUUUCCAGGGGUUAAAUGUAGUCAUGCUAAAUUGAUUUUAGACUCGUUCUGUGGUGCCUGUGCAUAGGUAAAUGGCCACAUGCUAUGUGGGGAAAGUUGAGUGAAUCGCUCUUUUCCUGAUGGGCAGAGGGUGGUCCUGUGUGUGAAUGUGUCUGUUGUGUCACAGGCUUUAGAAAUGGAUCACUGUUACAAAGGUGUAAGCAAGCCAUUGUGGUGGACUUUCUUAUAAAGCUGUAAGAAAAGUCAUUUCUGAGAAGUAUCAGAAGGCAACAGAUAGCCACUGGCCCCAGUUGUUUGACUUGGUUCUCCAUGACAUGCAGUUCUUCCUCAGCUCUUGCAUCACUGCAGCUCCAGUUGCAUCACAAAAAGCUGUGGGUGGGCACCACUUCCACAGCCCUCUUGUGCUGGUUUGGUGCAGACAGGCACCCGCACUGCCCUUUGCAUGGGGUCUGCAGCGCCUGUUGUGCAAUGGGAAACGAUGCAAGGAGAGCAAACACUGUAAAAACAAUAAUGUUUGACUCCAGUUCUUUCCUAGUGUGAUUUGAGCUUCCAAGUUUAAGAUGUUAUGUAGAGUGUCUCGGGAGUCAUUUAGAAGACUUCAGGAAUUUCAUUUGCAGCCGUGUACGUGCUACACACAGCCUCAUUAAAACACAGAGGAAGCUGGCAUGUUUGUUGCAAUGUGCAAACCAAGCAGAAUUUGCUCCAUGAUACUCUAUAGAGAAGCCUUGCUUUGGAAGAAUAUUUCCGGGAAUUGAAGCUCGGCCGACUGCUGUGAAAUUCCCUGGGUCCUCCUCUUCCUCUUCAAAAAAAA